rnacentral:rRNA from 1 species
ACGAAAGUCUGACGGAGCAACGCCGCGUGAGUGAUGAAGGUUUUCGGAUCGUAAAGCUCUGUUGUUAGGGAAGAACAAGUGCAAGAGUAACUGCUUGCACCUUGACGGUACCUAACCAGAAAGCCACGGCUAACUACGUGCCAGCAGCCGCGGUAAUACGUAGGUGGCAAGCGUUGUCCGGAAUUAUUGGGCGUAAAGGGCUCGCAGGCGGUUUCUUAAGUCUGAUGUGAAAGCCCCCGGCUCAACCGGGGAGGGUCAUUGGAAACUGGGAAACUUGAGUGCAGAAGAGGAGAGUGGAAUUCCACGUGUAGCGGUGAAAUGCGUAGAGAUGUGGAGGAACACCAGUGGCGAAGGCGACUCUCUGGUCUGUAACUGACGCUGAGGAGCGAAAGCGUGGGGAGCGAACAGGAUUAGAUACCCUGGUAGUCCACGCCGUAAACGAUGAGUGCUAAGUGUUAGGGGGUUUCCGCCCCUUAGUGCUGCAGCUAAC